rnacentral:lncRNA from 1 species
UCCUACGGGAGCCGGGCUCCGCCCACGACCUCGGGUAUGGACAAACUUCAUCCGGACUCCUACGGGAGCCGAAUUUCGUCCCCAACUUCGACUGCAGGAAGACCUCUUCUGAGCUCCUACAAGAACCGGACUUCACUUCUGACUCCAGCUACAGACUCCAACCGAACUUCAACCGACGAGUUUGGACCCCCUGGUAGGCCGUAGUAACGGCCAUGACUCUGCUCCACUUCCUGCGACAGAUUUCGUGUGGCUCCAUCACUCCCUGGCAGACCGCAAUAAUGGCCACGAUCCUGCUCCACUUCCUACGAC